GACGAACGCUGGCGGCGUGCUUAACACAUGCAAGUCGAACGGAAAGGCCCUGCUUUUGUGGGGUGCUCGAGUGGCGAACGGGUGAGUAACACGUGAGUAACCUGCCCUUGACUUUGGGAUAACUUCAGGAAACUGGGGCUAAUACCGGAUAGGAGCUCCUGCUGCAUGGUGGGGGUUGGAAAGUUUCGGCGGUUGGGGAUGGACUCGCGGCUUAUCAGCUUGUUGGUGGGGUAGUGGCUUACCAAGGCUUUGACGGGUAGCCGGCCUGAGAGGGUGACCGGCCACAUUGGGACUGAGAUACGGGCCAGACUCCUACGGGAGGCAGCAGUGGGGAAUAUUGCACAAUGGGCGGAAGACUGAUGCAGCAACGCCGCGUGCGGGAUGACGGCCUUCGGGUUGUAAACCGCUUUCGCCUGUGACGAAGCGUGAGUGACGGUAAUGGGUAAAGAAGCACCGGCUAACUACGUG
rnacentral:rRNA from 1 species